rnacentral:tRNA from 1 species
GUUAAUGUAGUUUAAUCAAAAUAUAACACUGAAGAUGUUAAGAUGGGCCCUAGAAAGCCCCAUGGACA